UACAGAGGGGGCAAGCGUUGUUCGGAAUUACUGGGCGUAAAGGGCGCGUAGGCGGCCUGCUAAGUCGAACGUGAAAUCCCCGGGCUCAACCCGGGAACUGCGUCCGAUACUGGCAGGCUUGAAUCCGGGAGAGGGAUGUGGAAUUCCAGGUGUAGCGGUGAAAUGCGUAGAUAUCUGGAGGAACACCGGUGGCGAAGGCGGCAUCCUGGACCGAUAUUGACGCUGAUGCGCGAAAGCCAGGGGAGCAAACGGG
rnacentral:rRNA from 1 species